GGGAAGGUGGCUCAAUGGUAGAGUGCUUGCCUCGCAGGCAUGAGGCCCUAGGUUCGAUUCCUCAGCACUAUCA
rfam:Dipodomys ordii contig_69859, whole genome shotgun sequence.